rnacentral:rRNA from 1 species
AACGGUGGUAAUGCCGGAUGCUCCGACUCCUCGCAUGGGGUGUCGGGAAAGAUUAUAUCGGUAUGGGAUGGGGUCGCGUCCUAUCAGGUAGUCGGCGGGGUAACGGCCCACCGAGCCUACGACGGGUAGCCGGCCUGAGAGGGCGACCGGCCACAUUGGGACUGAGAUACGGCCCAGACUCCUACGGGAGGCAGCAGUGGGGAAUAUUGCACAAUGGGCGCAAGCCUGAUGCAGCGACGCCGCGUGCGGGAUGACGGCCUUCGGGUUGUAAACCGCUUUUGAUCGGGAGCAAGCCUUCGGGUGAGUGUACCUUUCGAAUAAGCACCGGCUAACUACGUGCCAGCAGCCGCGGUAAUACGUAGGGUGCAAGCGUUAUCCGGAAUUAUUGGGCGUAAAGGGCUCGUAGGCGGUUCGUCGCGUCCGGUGUGAAAGUCCAUCGCUUAACGGUGGAUCUGCGCCGGGUACGGGCGGGCUGGAGUGCGGUAGGGGAGACUGGAAUUCCCGGUGUAACGGUGGAAUGUGUAGAUAUCGAAAAAA